AGAGUUUGAUCCUGGCUCAGGAUGAACGCUAGCUACAGGCUUAACACAUGCAAGUCGAGGGGCAGCAUGGACUCAGCUUUGCUGAGUUUGAUGGCGACCGGCGCACGGGUGAGUAACGCGUAUCCAACCUGCCCUUUACUCCGGGAUAGUCUCCUGAAAGGGAGUUUAAUACCGGAUGUGUUUGUUUUUCCGCAUGGGAGCGACAAAUAAAGAUUAAUUGGUAAAGGAUGGGGAUGCGUCCCAUUAGCUUGUUGGCGGGGUAACGGCCCACCAAGGCGACGAUGGGUAGGGGUUCUGAGAGGAAGGUCCCCCACAUUGGAACUGAGACACGGUCCAAACUCCUACGGGAGGCAGCAGUGAGGAAUAUUGGUCAAUGGGCGAGAGCCUGAACCAGCCAAGUAGCGUGAAGGACGACGGCCCUACGGGUUGUAAACUUCUUUUAUAAGGGAAUAAAGUUCGCCACGUGUGGUGUUUUGUAUGUACCUUAUGAAUAAGCAUCGGCUAAUUCCGUGCCAGCAGCCGCGGUAAUACGGAAGAUGCGAGCGUUAUCCGGAUUUAUUGGGUUUAAAGGGAGCGUAGGCGGGCUUUUAAGUCAGCGGUCAAAUGCCACGGCUCAACCGUGGCCAGCCGUUGAAACUGUAAGCCUUGAGUCUGCACAGGGCACAUGGAAUUCGUGGUGUAGCGGUGAAAUGCUUAGAUAUCACGAAGAACUCCGAUCGCGAAGGCAUUGUGCCGGGGCAGCACUGACGCUGAGGCUCGAAAGUGCGGGUAUCAAACAGGAUUAGAUACCCUGGUAGUCCGCACGGUAAACGAUGAAUGCUCGCUAUGGGCGAUAUAUUGUCCGUGGCCAAGCGAAAGCGU
rnacentral:rRNA from 1 species